GGGUUGUGAGGUUAAGCGACUAAGCGUACACGGUGGAUGCCCUGGCAGUCAGAGGCGAUGAAGGGCGUGCUAAUCUGCGAUAAGCGCCGGUAAGGUGAUAUGAACCGUUAUAACCGGCGAUACCCGAAUGGGGAAACCCAGUGUGAUUCGUCACACUAUCAUUAACUGAAUCCAUAGGUUAAUGAGGCGAACCGGGGGAACUGAAACAUCUAAGUACCCCGAGGAAAAGAAAUCAACCGAGAUUCCCCCAGUAGCGGCGAGCGAACGGGGAGGAGCCCAGAGCCUGAAUCAGCAUGUGUGUUAGUGGAAGCGUCUGGAAAGGCGCGCGAUACAGGGUGACAGCCCCGUACACAAAAGCGCAUGUGCUGUGAGCUCGAUGAGUAGGGCGGGACACGUGGUAUCCUGUCUGAAUAUGGGGGGACCAUCCUCCAAGGCUAAAUACUCCUGACUGACCGAUAGUGAACCAGUACCGUGAGGGAAAGGCGAAAAGAACCCCGGCGAGGGGAGUGAAAAAGAACCUGAAACCGUGUACGUACAAGCAGUGGGAGCACCCUUCGGGGUGUGACUGCGUACCUUUUGUAUAAUGGGUCAGCGACUUAUAUUCUGUAGCAAGGUUAACCGUAUAGGGGAGCCGGAGGGAAACCGAGUCUUAAUUGGGCGUUAAGUUGCAGGGUAUAGACCCGAAACCCGGUGAUCUAGCCAUGGGCAGGUUGAAGGUUGGGUAACACUAACUGGAGGACCGAACCGACUAAUGUUGAAAAAUUAGCGGAUGACCUGUGGCUGGGGGUGAAAGGCCAAUCAAACCGGGAGAUAGCUGGUUCUCCCCGAAAGCUAUUUAGGUAGCGCCUCGUGAAUUCAUCUCCGGGGGUAGAGCACUGUUUCGGCUAGGGGGCCAUCCCGGCUUACCAACCCGAUGCAAACUGCGAAUACCGGAGAAUGUUAUCACGGGAGACACACGGCGGGUGCUAACGUCCGUCGUGAAGAGGAAACAACCCAGACCGCCAGCUAAGGUCCCAAAGUCAUGGUUAAGUGGGAAACGAUGUGGGAAGGCCCAGACAGACAGGAUGUUGGCUUAGAAGCAGCCAUCAUUUAAAGAAAGCGUAAUAGCUCACUGGUCGAGUCGGCCUGCGCGGAAGAUGUAACGGGGCUAAACCAUGCACCGAAGCUGCGGCAGCGAACGUAUCACCCAAGACAACUUUACGGAGUUGACGAUUGACGGAGCGAAGCGACGUCAAAGCGUUCAUUAAAGUCGAGUUGGCUUAGGGAUACGUUCGUUGGGUAGGGGAGCGUUCUGUAAGCCUGUGAAGGUGUGUCGUGAGGCAUGCUGGAGGUAUCAGAAGUGCGAAUGCUGACAUAAGUAACGAUAAAGCGGGUGAAAAGCCCGCUCGCCGGAAGACCAAGGGUUCCUGUCCAACGUUAAUCGGGGCAGGGUGAGUCGACCUAAGGCGAGGCCGAAAGGCGUAGUCGAUGGGAAACGGGUUAAUAUUCCCGUACUUGGUGUUACUGCGAAGGGGGGACGGAGAAGGCUAUGUUGGCCGGGCGACGGUUGUCCCGGUUUAAGCGUGUAGGUGUGUGUUCCAGGUAAAUCCGGUUCACUUUAACACUGAGGCGUGACGACGAGGCACUACGGUGCUGAAGCAACAAAUGCCCUGCUUCCAGGAAAAGCCUCUAAGCAUCAGGUAACACGAAAUCGUACCCCAAACCGACACAGGUGGUCAGGUAGAGAAUACCAAGGCGCUUGAGAGAACUCGGGUGAAGGAACUAGGCAAAAUGGUGCCGUAACUUCGGGAGAAGGCACGCUGACACGUAGGUGAAGUGAUUUACUCAUGGAGCUGAAGUCAGUCGAAGAUACCAGCUGGCUGCAACUGUUUAUUUGACGCCUGCCCGGUGCCGGAAGGUUAAUUGAUGGGGUCAGCGUAAGCGAAGCUCCUGAUCGAAGCCCCGGUAAACGGCGGCCGUAACUAUAACGGUCCUAAGGUAGCGAAAUUCCUUGUCGGGUAAGUUCCGACCUGCACGAAUGGCGUAAUGAUGGCCAGGCUGUCUCCACCCGAGACUCAGUGAAAUUGAACUCGCUGUGAAGAUGCAGUGUACCCGCGGCAAGACGGAAAGACCCCGUGAACCUUUACUAUAGCUUGACACUGAACAUUGAGCCUUGAUGUGUAGGAUAGGUGGGAGGCUUUGAAGUGUGGACGCCAGUCUGCAUGGAGCCGACCUUGAAAUACCACCCUUUAAUGUUUGAUGUUCUAACGUGGACCCGUAAUCCGGGUUGCGGACAGUGUCUGGUGGGUAGUUUGACUGGGGCGGUCUCCUCCUAAAGAGUAACGGAGGAGCACGAAGGUUGGCUAAUCCUGGUCGGACAUCAGGAGGUUAGUGCAAUGGCAUAAGCCAGCUUGACUGCGAGCGUGACGGCGCGAGCAGGUGCGAAAGCAGGUCAUAGUGAUCCGGUGGUUCUGAAUGGAAGGGCCAUCGCUCAACGGAUAAAAGGUACUCCGGGGAUAACAGGCUGAUACCGCCCAAGAGUUCAUAUCGACGGCGGUGUUUGGCACCUCGAUGUCGGCUCAUCACAUCCUGGGGCUGAAGUAGGUCCCAAGGGUAUGGCUGUUCGCCAUUUAAAGUGGUACGCGAGCUGGGUUUAGAACGUCGUGAGACAGUUCGGUCCCUAUCUGCCGUGGGCGCUGGAGAACUGAGGGGGGCUGCUCCUAGUACGAGAGGACCGGAGUGGACGCAUCACUGGUGUUCGGGUUGUCAUGCCAAUGGCACUGCCCGGUAGCUAAAUGCGGAAGAGAUAAGUGCUGAAAGCAUCUAAGCACGAAACUUGCCCCGAGAUGAGUUCUCCCUGAGACUUAGAGUCUCCUGAAGGAACGUUGAAGACGACGACGUUGAUAGGCCGGGUGUGUAAGCGCAGCGAUGCGUUGAGCUAACCGGUACUAAUGAACCGUGAGGCUUAACCUUACAACGCCGAAG
rnacentral:rRNA from 1 species